CCUGUCCAUACCUCCGUAUUUUGCAGCUCUAGAAACAGAGCUGUUUCUGAGAUUUUGAGGGGGGGAUGUCAGCUUCUGAAACCUUGUCCUGUGACAGAGUGGAGGUGGCCCCUGGGGACCUCAGACAGCUGCGGGGACGCUCUGGGUUCGUGCUGAGACCAAGAGGAGCCCCUGCAGUGCCGUCCCCACCACGGGCUCCGGAAACAGCUGCUCCCCAAACUCCGGGAGACCAGGGGGAUGGGGGCCCCUCGAGCAUCCCGACGCCCACUUGGAGGAGACAGCAGGCUGGCGGGCAGGUGGAUGCGUGAAGGGCCUCCAAGGGGGAUGCCGUUGACCCCGACCAGGAAGGAGUCCCCCGGCUCCAGGAGGUUGAACAGGGCGGCCUCCAGUGCGCAGUGCCCCGAGCCGCUGAUGGCCAGCGUGAGGGGGUUCCGGGUCUGGAACACGUACUGGAUGCCUUGCUUGAUCUCGUCCAUGAUCUGCGGGCAGUGGACAUGCAGGUCACCGCCUCCCCUGCUCCCACCCCAGGGAGGAGGCCACUCAGGGCACUGACCGCUGUGUCUCAGUGGCCUACCUGGAACAUCUCCUCGUGCAUGUGUCCUAUUGUCUGCCGCCCCCCAGCCGCCAUGACGCGGGGGGUCAGGUUAGAGGGGCCGGGCCCCAGCAGAAGCCGGCUGGGGAGGGACAGGGGCUUACUCAGGGCUUCUGGGGGGGCCACCAGCAGUGGGUGGGAGGCCAUGGUCCUCACCCAGCCCGCCGCCUUGUGCCCCAGGGCCGCACUGGCCGCGGUCAGUGCCCGGAGCAUUUCCCAGCAGGCCCUGCACUGACGAUGGGCAGCGGAGGACACGGGGGCGCCCAGGAGGCGAGCCUGGUCGAUGGGUUUCUGCUCUACCUGCUGCCUUUGGCUGUUUGUCGUUGUUACCAGACCGUUAUCAAUGCUCGUCCUGCACGUGAAGGCUUGGCAGCUGGGGUGUUGAACCCUCGGCGGGAGAGGAGGAGCCAACAAAGUCCAGUCCGUGAAAAACAGAUCUUGGCAAGCGGUCCUCUGCUCUCCAGCUGCCCCUCCCGCUCCAUCCCCGAAGGAUGCCCAGCCUGGUGCAUCUGGCUGGGCUCAGGGGGCCCCAGCGUUUUUCUUAUGGGACCAGAGCGCCAACAUUUCAGACUUGGCAGACCUACAGGCUGUGUUAAAACUACUCAGCCCUGCUGUGGUGGUGAGAAGGCGGUUACAAGGGUGUGGCUGUGUGCUAAUAAAACUUUAUUUACAAAAGAA